UACGAAGGGGGCUAGCGUUGCUCGGAAUCACUGGGCGUAAAGCGCACGUAGGCCGAUUGUUAAGUCAGGGGUGAAAUCCUGGAGCUCAACUCCAGAACUGCCCUUGAUACUGACGGUCUCGAGUCCGGGAGAGGUGAGUGGAAUGCCGAGUGUAGAGGUGAAAUUCGUAGAUAUUCGGCGGAACACCAGUGGCGAAGGCGGCUCUCUGGGACGGUACUGACGCUGAGACGCGAAAGCGUGGGGAGCGAACAGG
rnacentral:rRNA from 1 species